ACAGAAAUCUUAUAAGAUUUCACUGAAGUCUUAUCAGUUUAAUAUCUGAUACGUCCUCUAUCCGAGGACAAUAUGUUAAAUGGAUUUUUGGAGCAGGGAGAUGGAAUAGGAGCUUGCUUCGUCCACUCCCACGCAUCGACCUGGUAUUGCAGUACUUCCGGGAACAGUGCACCCCCU
rnacentral:snRNA from 1 species